UCUUCCGCAAUGGACGAAAGUCUGACGGAGCAACGCCGCGUGAGCGAAGAAGGCCUUCGGGUCGGAAAGCUCUGUUGUAAGGGAAGAACAAGCAUCGGUUAACUGCCGGUGCCCUGACGGUACCUUAACAGAAAGCCACGGCUAACGACGUGUCAGCAACCGCGGUAAUACGUAGGUGGCAAGCGUUGUCCGUAAGUAUUGGGCGUAAAGGGCGCGCAGGCGGUCCUUUAAGUCUGAUGUGAAAGCCCACGGCUCAACCGUGGAGGGUCAUUGGAAACUGGGGGACUUGAGUGCAGAAGAGGAAAGCGGAAUUCCACGUGUAGCGGUGAAAUGCGUAGAGAUGUGGAGGAACACCAGUGGCGAAGGCGGCUUUCUGGUCUGUAACUGACGCUGAGGCGCGAAAGCGUGGGGAGCAAACA
rnacentral:rRNA from 1 species